rnacentral:lncRNA from 10 species
CUCUGGGUCUCGCACGCAGCAGCUGCAGACGCUGCCCGGCGCGGUGGGGCUGUGAGCAAAACGGCCCGCCGGUGUGGUUGCCCAGACUGUGCUGGGCCCUCCUAGGUGGAUGGCCCUGCCCCAGCCUAACUUCUGUACCCCAGCAUAACCUCCAAAGUAACAGCCGUGCCCUGGGAGCCUGUUCAACACUGAACAUAUCCCACAAUAACACUGUUCCAGCGUCGCUGGUAAAAAGCAGAAAUGGCUUCGCUGGAGGCAUCGACAAAUCUAAUGCAGUAACCUCAUUUUACAGAAGAGAACUCUAAGAGGAUAACUAACUUGGCCAAGAUCACAUGAUGUUUCUGGAUGAGAUUAGCAUUCAAAUUCGUGGACUCAUUAAAGUAGAUGGCUCUCUCCAAUAUGGGUGGGCAUCAUCCAAUCUGUUGAAGGCGUGAAGAGAACAAGAGAAGGAGGAAGGAAGAAUUCACCUUUUUUCUUGCUGCCCACCUGCUUGGGCUGGGACAUUGCAUCUCACCUUCUCCAGCCUUUGGAUGAGGAUUUACACCCUGGUUCUCAGGCCUUCAGGCUCUAACUGGAGCUACACUAUCAACUUUCCUGGGCCUCCAGAUUGCAGAUGGUGGAUCACGGUACUUUUUAGCCUCCAUCAUAAUAUGAGAAAAAAGAGGCACAGUGAAGCUAAAUAUAUUGGCUAAAGAUCACAAAGCUAAGAAGAUUAUCAAGGUUAUCUGUGCUCAAUGUGUGCAUCUCAGAUCAGCAGCAUCAGCAUCACCUGGGAGCUUGUUAGAGCUGGAGACUCUCAGGCUCCACGGCAGACUUCCUGAAUCAGAAGCUACAAUUUAACAGGAUCCUCGGGUGAUCUGAAAAUGCAAUAAAGUUUGGGAAGCACUGCUGUUGGUCAUUAGACAAUCUAAUGAACUAAGACUUUUGCCGAGCAUCUGAGUUGAAAUUUUUCAAGAUGAAAAGUUGCUAAAGAAAGAGAAAGGGAAGCGGUUUGCUCCAGUAUUCCUCUUUCCACCUUCCCACUGACUGGGAAGCGGCGGUUAGCAGAGCCACAGUCUUGGAUUAGAGAUAAGAGGGACAUGUUGAGGAAGGUGGAGUCUCCCCCACAGCCCUGGACCAGGCUCCAGUGCCAACAAAAGCCAAGAAGAACCUCUGGAGCAAUCAGUCUUACGGAAUCCCUGUAUUCUAGGAUUUGGCAAGCUGUCCACUGAAACAUUAUUUUUCCCAGCCUUCUUUGCAGAGGUGGGGAAACUGAGGCAAAGGGUGUUUAAAUGGUCUGCCCAAAGUCACACAGCUAAGAAGCAGUGAUGGGAUAUGAAGUCAAACAGUCUUAAAAGCAAGCUAUCCUGUUGCAAAAUAGAAAUUAGUUGAUAACGUCUUCCAGGAGACCUACGGCCAUCCUACUGAUAUGAACCAGAUCAUACCUGCCCUGAUGGGAUGCCAGAGAAAGACUGCUGCAAGGUACGCGCCACUCACAGACCUCUCCAUUUAUCUCACUGAUGCAAAGGACCCUGAGUAGGGAUCCUCUGGAAACAGAACAGAGGGAAGAAGAUACCUUCCCUGAAGCCCAGAUGUUCCAGAAGCCUGCGCCUCAUUCACAAAGUCACCCCAAAAAUGCCCUAGAGUUUGGAGUUUUGAAGAAGCGGGAAGAAGGCCUGAGUAAGGGCCUGGGAACCAAGUUAGAUCCUACUUCAGCAUCAGCACAUGCCAGCGAUGGUGCACACAGGUGGAGAGCGGCCUGCCCGUCUUUUCCAUGGUGCCCACAGACCCAUUUAGGAUGAAAGAUCAGAAAAUUCUCUCCAUGUCACCGCUUCUGAAACAUGUGAAUAUUAAUAUUUGGUGCCUAAAAGGCCAUGGCAAAUUUUCAUUGGUUUUAUCUUAUUCAUGAUUAUAGAGUUGAAAGAAUACAUAUUCCCAUGGGGAUCAAUGAAGACAUUCUCAUUUUGAAUGAAGUAGAAUAUAAGUUGUAAAGAUAUAGAAUUUUCCUGAACUGAACCUUGAACCAAAAAUCCCCUCAAUUAACCUGGAACUAAACACAGUCCCUGAAGAUAACAAGGAGUUUCAGGAUGCCACAGGGCUGUCUGUGCAGUAUGGGGCUUCUUGCUCUAUCUCUGGUAUCUGAGGCAGAUAGGCUACUCAGGCCCCUCUCUGGUCUCAAGGUGGGCUGGCUGAGAUGUCAGUUUCUUCCUCAGUGACAGCUUGGGUACAGUAUGUGUAAACUGAUUGUCAGCUGAGCUGAAGGGACUCUGCCCAUAUUGGAGUGUUCUACAAGAAGAGGUGUCAAACCUAAAGGUCUAAAAUUACUAUGAAAGGAGUAUUGGAAACCACUGGGACAAUUGUGAUCACAACUGGUGGUAGCCUUCUCGUUUGGGUGAGAAAGACAGAAAGGAGGAAGAUGUGUUAGUCAAGGUUCUCUAGAGGGACAAAACUAAUAGGAUAUAUGUAUAUAUGAGAGGGAGUUUAUUAAGGAGAAUUGACUCACUUGAUCACAAGGUAAAGUCCCAAGAUAGGCUGUCUGCAAGUUGAGGAGCAAGGAAGUCAUUGGUGGAUUGUUCUGGGUACCAAAACCUCAAAAGUAGGGAAAUCGACAGUGCAGCCUUCAGUCUGUGGUCAAAGGCUCGAGGGGCCCUGGCAGACCACUGGUGUAAGUCCAAGAGUCCCAGAAGCUGAAGAACUUGGAGUCUGAUGUUUGAGGGCAGGAAGCAUCCAGCACAGGAGAAAGACGGAUGCUGGAAGACUUAGCAAGUCUGUUCUUUCCAAUUUCUUCUGCCUGCUUUUAUUCUAGCCAUGCUGGCAGCUGAUUAGAUGGUGCCCUCCCAAAUUGAGGGUGGCUGUGCCUCUCCCAGUCCACUGACUCAAAUGUUAAUCUCCUUUGGCAACACCCUCACAGACACACCCAGGAACAAUACUUUGCAUCCUUCAUUCCAAUCAAGUUGACACUCAAUAUUAACCAUCACAGAAGGAGAAUUUCAGGCUGAGUCCAAACACUAUGGCCCCAGCCCCAGCUUCCCCUUUCUGGGUUGAAUAACCAGACUGAGCCUAAGAAAAGGAAAAGAGUUGACUUUCUCCCAAAAGGCCUGCAGCGGGUUAGAAAGCAAUGGUUUGGGGACCAUACUGAGUGCCUAGGAUGCUCUGGACCACAAAGCUUGAAGUCAAAUUGUUCAUGCACUUGUUUCAUGAUAGGAAGAGAGAGAGAGAGAGAGAGAGAGAGAGAGAAAUUUCCUUUCCUUGAAGAAUGGCAAAACACGUCUCUUGUUCUGGGGGCUAUAUCUUGAAGGGUAUCUGAUCUCCCCCUCAUGGGAGGAACUAGAAUGCCCUAAGGCAGCCGUGGCUCCUGGAGCUGAGAGAUCUUUCUGACACUUUGUGAGAGCUGCAAGGCUAAGUCUGGAGCCAGAAAAGUCCAUGUGGACAAGUGCAGAGCAAGCAGAUCUGAGACACAUGUGGGAGCAAGCUGGACAUGUCCAAAAGUCAGAGGAAGCAAGAGCAGACAUGCAUGAGCAGGCAGAUGAGGCUGGUGCCCAGGCAGCAGGCUGAGGCUCUGGCUGGGCUUUGGAUGCUCCUGAGAGUCCAGUUAGAGACCAGUGAGCAAACCCACAGUGAACUCUUAUUCCUCACGCAGCAGGACGAGGGAUUAAGCACAAAGCCUUAAAGGUCUGAGUGUCUCUUUAUCCUGACCUCAGGAAAGAGAGGCAAGUAUCAUGUUUCUAAAAGUCUGAGAAGUCUUCACAUGACAGCCUACACCAAAAGAACUCAAAUGCACAUCCACUGCAUACACGCAUGUGUGCACACAUAUACAUGUGUACACAUGCAUGCCCACACACAACCCUCUGGAAGAGGAAGUAAAGAGACUUUAUGUUUUCAGCCCCUCUUGAGGAAACUUAAACUAAGUCUUUCUGUGGGGUUAGUGGUGGAGACAGAGAGGGUCUGGGGUCACCGAGGCCGAGGUGGCUGGACCCAGAGGGUAGAGCUGAGGGGAUCCCCUGAGACUGGGAAGAUGGAGCAGAAGCAGAUGGCAGAUGGCAGCAGGUGAGAGCAGACUGGAUUUCUCCUAAAUCACCAGAUCCAGCCAACCUUUCUUUCCUUAGGGACACCUCUAGAUCCCAUUCCAAAUGAACUCUUUCUCUGACCUUUCACCUCAAUUCAGAAUUUGGGAAAUUUAGCCAUGAUCUUAGGAACACAGAGGCUUGAAACAAUCUUUUCUAACCACCCGUUUGUUCAGACUGUGUAAGUUCUGCUUCUGCAUCCAGUGUCAACACCCAAGAACCAUUUUAAAGGGGAGCCAUCCUUUGAAAUUAAACUUCUUUUAAUAAUAAAGACAGAUUUCAGGGUUGACAUAAAAGAUAGCCACAGUAAAGCCAAUCCUCCAGUGUAUAACAUUUUUCAAAGUUUCCUUCCUCUUCAUUGCUGGUGUUCAUGUACAGUCCAGAGUUAGUCUACAUUAAAUUAUAGAUUGUUUUCAGCAAUAAUGCAAACAUUUGGAAGCCUUCAAACUCUCUGAUAACUAACUUCUACAUUCUCUCUGCUAUUAUUAUAUAGAAAGGGAAAUUUUACCUGAUGCUGUUAAAGUCCUCACGAACAUAGUGAUCCGAAUUGGCUGAAGUGGAAAACUAAAUGUUAGCUGAUUUUCAAAACAAGAUUUCCACUCUGAAUUCCCAUUUUUCACAUGUGAUCAUAUGCCUUGUUGUGAAGUUGAACUAAAAAGAAACUCCAUGCCCACUGGCUUAAUGCUAGAAGAUAAUCUACAGCAUAGUAAUUUCUUAGACUUCACUUUAUUAGCCACUAAACUUGGAAUGAUUAUUUCUAUGUUCAAUUAUUAAGUCUAUAUCUCCAUUUCUUAAAAAGGUCUGAGGCAGCCCCUUUGAAUAUUAAUACGCAUUUAUUUUCACCUCUCAAAUAAAA